rnacentral:rRNA from 1 species
GAUGAACGCUGGCGGCGUGCCUAAUACAUGCAAGUAGAACGCUGAAGGAAGGAGCUGCUCUUUCCGGAUGAGUUGCGAACGGGUGAGUAACGCGUAGGUAACCUGCCUGGUAGCGGGGGAUAACUAUUGGAAACGAUAGCUAAUACCGCAUAACAGUAGAUGUUGCAUGAUAUCUACUUAAAAGGUGCAAUUGCACCACUACCAGAUGGACCUGCGUUGUAUUAGCUAGUUGGUGAGGUAACGGCUCACCAAGGCGACGAUACAUAGCCGACCUGAGAGGGUGAUCGGCCACACUGGGACUGAGACACGGCCCAGACUCCUACGGGAGGCAGCAGUAGGGAAUCUUCGGCAAUGGACGGAAGUCUGACCGAGCAACGCCGCGUGAGUGAAGAAGGUUUUCGGAUCGUAAAGCUCUGUUGUAAGAGAAGAACGAGUGUGAGAGUGGAAAGUUCACACUGUGACGGUAUCUUACCAGAAAGGGACGGCUAACUACGUG